GUUAGGAUGGCCGAGCGGUCUAAGGCGCCAGACUCAAGGGCUGACUCCUUCCUGGUCAAAGGGAUUUCUGGUCUCCAAAUGGAGGCGUGGGUUCAAAUCCCACUUCUGACA
rnacentral:tRNA from 1 species